rnacentral:lncRNA from 10 species
GGUAACGUUGCAUGUCCCACCUUAUUUGCUCCUCACCUUAUAUAGCAGGAUUAUCAUCCCCACUUUGUAGAUGAGAACACUGAGGCAAGAGGUUAAGUAACUUAGGUCGAAGAACAUUGCUGGUGACAGCAUCGGCAUCAAAGCCAGGUCUGUGUGACAUUCUCUUUACUCUGUCAUAGAACCUCCCUACAUAGCCCACUCUCCUGACUCCUAACAAGAACUAAUGAUUCUGUCACUCCAAGAAUAGCAUUUCCAGAGUGACACCCAUGAACUGAGCCCACGCUGGCCUGUACUUAGUGGAAAUUAUUGGCCACUUUAUUGUGCUUAAGCAUAUGAUGGGCAACUGAAUUAGGUGACUCAGGGUAUUAAAGCUGGAAGGGUCUAUAUAGAUCAUUUAGCAUCACUCUACUCAUUUUUGAGGUGAGAACAUUAAAACUGGCCAGAGUCACACCAGUGAGUUGCACUGCUAAGGACUGAACAUGGGACUCAAGGCUCUCAUUAUUUCUAGGUGCUCUUCCUCUGCAGCACCUCUCAGUUUUCUCUUUCCAAAUCUUUUCCAAAUCCAGCUUAAAUUCCAUUGUGUUCUUACAGCAUUCCAUGAUUUUCCAAAUGAGAAUUAGUCAUUCUUUGCUCUCAGCUUACAUUAUACUUUAAACCUCUGUUUUAGCACUUCAUUCCUUCUGCUUUAUAUUAAUUUUGUAUGUUGGUCACCCUUUCUAAACUAUAAACCUGUUAAGAACUUAUUUUUGUAUAACCUUCAAGUAUCUAGUUCAUUGUUUUGUCCAUACUAGGUGUUCAACAUGUACUUAUUGAAUGAAUAAUGAUUUAACAAUAUUUUAGCAUUUCUUUAAUUCAAAUGUUUCCAUCAAAAGUUAUCUCUCUCUAGGCUGGAAAAUAAGCAAAACUGUGCUGAUUUCUCUGUAUUUGUUCUUUUCAUAUUGUGCUUUUUUGGUUUGUUUCCCUAUUUGAAGCAUCCUCCAGUAGAAUGCAAGAUCUGCAUAAACAAACUUAUUUACAUUUGCCCCUGCCAUCCCUAAGGCUCAGCAUUGUUUCUGAUACAGAGCCAGUACCCAAACACCCAAUAAAUGAUAAACAAGUGAAUGAA